UAAGAACCAAUUUUACCGAACCGCAGCUCUCUGCUACCUCUUCGCGUUCCUCUUUCCCAAUCUCUCUCGCGUUCGCCCUCCCAAGGUGAGUUUGGGUUUUCGGUUUCGUUUCUAUUCAGCAUUAUUGUGUGGUUCGUUAUGUUUAUCACUAAAACUGUGAAUUUGAAUUCGUAAUCUUAGGUAUUCUAGAUCUCUAAUAACAUAAUGUAGCGAAUGCCUUUUUCCUCACACCACUUCUUCUUGCACAUUUAAGUCUCAGAUUACCAUUUCUUUUUUGUAUUUCGCUCUUCAAUUUAUUUUCUAUUUUCUUGUUUAAACUUUAAAUUUUUGGUGAAUGUUCUCUUAUGAAAUUUAUGAAAUUUAGGUUAACAGAAGAAUGAUUGUUUUCCCAAUCUUUAUAUGAAAAGCAAGUUGUGUGAUUGUUUUGUACAUAUUUUUUGAUUAACUCUUGUCAAACUAUGUAGCAUGUAUAUAGAUGAUGGACAUGACACUGAGACAUCGUCAUAAUAAUUAUUUAAAAAGUUUAAUUGAUUGAACAUAACCACAUAUAUUGAUGUUGUGUUGAUGAAAAGUAAUUAAUUAAAUAUAAUCAUGUGUAUUGAUGUUGUGAUGGUGACCAACACCAUCCAUGUUAGUUUUCAAUAUAGUUGUAAUUCAUCACGCUAGUGUACUUGUAAGGGACAGGUUUAUUUUGGACCUAGUGGGUUGGUGCUGUAAUGUCUUGGUUUGUACUUUCUAGGCCUAACCUUAC
rnacentral:lncRNA from 1 species